rnacentral:misc_RNA from 1 species
UGGAAAAACACAAAUAGAAUGUUCAAGAUUAAGCUAUUUACCUCUAUCGAGUAUUGUACUGAGGUAUUGUAACAAAAUUAACGAAAAAAUCGCCAACCUGGGACCCGUUGGUCUAGAAAUAUCGAUAAAUCGUUUUUUUUUUUUCAUAUUUCGAAAGUAUACUAUUUCAAAAAUACACAUUUAAAAUUUGGUGACGAUAUUUUGAGUAUAUCAUGCUGUAAAACCUAUUUAAACCAAUAAUAAAAGGAGGUAGUCGAGCCGGUCGGCCCAGAGAGUAAUUCUAUUGUUCGGUAAAACGCAUCUUCUUCGGUUACUUUACCUGAGUUGUAGUAAGUAGUAAAGGGAAAUAUGUAGUUUCGAUAGCUGAAAAAACCGAAGACAUUGCAGAGUCUAAAAGGACUGAGGGUAUACUUUAUGGUGCUAAAAUAGCUUAUUAAUC